GAAGGUUAAUCUGUUGUGUCGCCUUCCUGCUGUAAGGCAGUAGACCUCUCUAGUUGGAAAUGCGUGGCAUUGGUCUUCUUCAGGUUGUCUGUUUAGUUUCUCUUCGACUUCAGGCACUUUAAAACUACACGCCCCAUAUGUUAAGAAUGUAACUGAGGUAUCUGAGGGAAAGCGUACAAGGGCAGCAGCAGAUGUGAUAAGCUAACCUGGCUGAAAAGGUGUGAGAUUCGGAGUAAUGCCUUUCGGAAUACCAGGAGUCCAGGAAGUUCGUCUCGAGACCCCAAAAUUGAACAGUAGCUGGAAAUAAGCUUAGCUAGGUGUGAUACUGAUUUACUGAAAACAACCUGGAGAGCCCACAGUGCUAUAAACAUAGCAAAACGCUAUGUUUAUAACUGAUGACUGAUGGCUUUGUAUAGGAGAGAUACUGCUUGUCAAGGGCAUAUUUAGCAAUGUACAGAGGCCAAGUCGCCUCUUGAAUUGCUGAACGGGUUCAACACGCCUUACGGGUGUGUCUAGCCGGGAACGUUAUUUUUGUCCUGGCUUGAAUCUUCGAGGUAUAUUGGCAUUAGAGAAACUGCAGGGGGCGAUUAUCUCUCCAAUUCGUUUUGGUUAAACUUUUAAUAAGUAAUGUCUUCUAUAGUGGGAAGAGCGUGGGGGUGGGUGCGCUUCUGGGGUAGUUGUUCCUCACAAAAUACCCCAACGUUGUGCCAAAAGCAGCUUGCUAAAGGUAACUGGGGAUCUUGGAUGUGGGGAGGGUGGAGAAAAGGAAGUGACCAGAGUGCUCUAGGAGAGGAGUACUGGGAAGCACAGGAGAAAUUGCAACCUAUGGAAAAAGAAGAUCUUGGCUCAGGAAAACCAGAGACAGAGCUACAGGUGUCCAGUUGGUGGAGCAAAUAUCUCCCCACGUCAUAUCUGUGGUCAAGAAAACCUCCUCAAAGCAGCCUGAGACAAAGGAAAGGUGAUGUUGAUGGGGACUUUUCUGAUUACGGAACCCCUCCCCCGUCUCCCACUCCUUCUCAGCUGACCUCUCCAUUCAGAUUUUUCACAGAUAGCUGGAAUUUGGAGAUUAUACCAGAGCACUAUGAGAUUUGCUUCAACUUCCUUCGGCAUUUGUUUGACCUAUUUGUAGUUGCCUUCCUGUGGACUGUGUCCCCUCCUGCCAAACUGAUCCUGGAGGUGUUUGGUGUCCAGGGAGCUCUGAGGCUGUGGUUUCAUGGCAUGGCCAUGUUUUUUGUCUCAACAGCUGGAAUGGCAGGAUUGCUGUGGUUGAUUCAGGAGUAUCUCCCUCAGUUUGCUUUGAUUUAUGGCAUCAUACAAGCAUUGGUGAUCUCUGUCAGUGUACGACAAAGUGUAAUCCUUGGAGUGGAAGAAGACAAAGAAAAUAUCCAGGAGGUGAAAGAGACUGGUGAAAAGCAAGACACUGCAGACAAUGGAGAUAAGCUUUUUUCUAAGGAACUGCUGAAGACAAGCUUAGCCUAAGGUGAUGCAGGAAUCCAGCUGCUUCAGCCUUUCUCUAAAUGUUUGACUCCACAGACACUGACAGAUUGUGUAUACCACUAAAUUCAUUAGUUAUAAUCAUAGUUCACUUUGAUUUAGUUUGGAGAAGUUGUUUCUCUUUGUUUUGCCUGAAAUAGUGUCUGUAUUCUGCAAACAUCUACUCAUCACCGUGAAUGUUUAUAAUCCAACUGUAAAUGCUGAGAAUGCUGGGUAUAUGAGUGUUGAGGAGAUGCUACUGUAUGUCAAAUAACAGUCUAGAAAAUAGCCAGGACUUGGUGCCUGUACUGAUAUUUACAUUUAAUUUGUUUCCGUUUACUAUUCUCAUUGGCUCUCAAAAGUCUACUCCCACUUAUUAAAAUACCCAUUAUUGUGAUGUGAAAAAUAUGAUCAUGGUAAAUUAUUUAAAUAUUUUCCACAUAAUGACAUAUGUGCUGCACAGUUCAAGUGGAUAAUAAACAAAUGUGUUAAAAGGAAAAGUAUAAAAGGUGCAAUAACCCAGUUGCAGAAGUGUGUUUGUUUCACCCUUUUCUUUGCACAGUUAAAUCCUUUGUCCCCUCUGCAAAUUAUGGCUUUAGCUAAAGGUGGAGAAUGUUUGAAAUGAUUUAUCAUUGUCUCACUUUACAUCACAAAACCCUGCUGAUGUAACAGGUUUGUAGACUUUUAAGAGCCACUGUGAUGAAUCAGCUGUAAGAUUUGAAAUUGAAACAAAUUAACAGGAAAAAUUCAUAAGACGCCAACAUACACUCCAAAUGUAAAUCAUCACCUUGCCUCUUAUUAAUCUUACUUUCCACAAGGUGACAUGCAAUUAAGACAUUUUAGGAUUGCUAAGCAAAGGAUUUACUGAAGGUGAAUUUGCAAAGCACUAACUGCAUAUUUAGACUCACUACAACUUGUAGUGAGACUAAAUACUCACUACAAGUUGAGUAUUUUGUACAAAUUGUAGUACAAGCACCACAACUUGUACAACUACAAUCUUAAAAUAAUCUGAAAAUAUCGAGCUCCUCUGCCUUCUCCUAAUGUUUCCAACACCACUCUGGCAGAAACAAGCAAUCAGCCUGGAGGAGGGUCUCUGUGCUGUCAAUCACACAUGUGCAUGCAAUUCUCUCUGCUAUAUCUUCUUCUCAAGAGCACAGCCUGCCAUGAAUGCCAAGGCUUGUUAGCAUUCAUGGCAGCAGAUAAACAGUUUUCCUUUAAUGUUAAGUUGUUUCUCCACCAUUUGCACAUUGAGUUGCGCAUACACAAGCAUGGUUGACAGUGCUAAGACACUCCUCUUUCUGGUUUUGAAUGAAAGCAGUGCAUUUCUUUAGAUGCCAAUAGCAGUACAGGAAGGAGGUGGAGGAGAUCAGUUCUUUCACAGAUUAUCUGUCUUACUGUCAUGACAUGUGCAACUUUUUUUUUAU